rnacentral:rRNA from 1 species
AGUGAACGCUGGCGGUAGGCCUAACACAUGCAAGUCGAACGAGUGGCGGACUGGUGCGGAAUAAAUCGGCAUCUACUCUUUCGUGGGGGAUAACGUCGGGACACUUACGCUCAUACCGCAUACGAUUGAAUGAGCAGAUGUCGGAUUAGCUAGUUGGCGGGGUAAAGGCCCACCAAGGCGACGAUCCGUAGCUGGUAUGAGCGGAUGACAAGCCACACUGGAACUGAGACACGGUCCAGACUCCUACGGGAGGCAGCAGUGGGGAAGAGUGGACAAUGGGCGCAAGCCUGAUCCAGCCAUACCUCGUGGGUGAAGAAGGCCUUCGGGUUGUAAAGCCCUUUUGUUGGGAAAGCGGUACCCAAAGAAUAAGCACCGGCUAACUUCGUGCCAGCAGCCGCGGUAAUAC